AAAUCACCUAGUUUUCCUAAAAAAUAUUUUCGACGGGGUUAAGCCGCCGCCGGGAGGACUCGCUUCCUCGAUAUCUCCCUCGCUCGCUUCUCCUGAGUGCCGCCACCCCUAUUCUUCGGUUUCUUGUCUCUUGGCUUCUCAUCAUCUGGCGGCGUUUCAGCGGAGAGAGAGGUAGAGGGAAAUGGCGAUGGAGGAUUGGAAAGUGGACGGGAAGAAAGAGGAGGAGCAGGAGCAGGAGCAGGAGCAGGAGGAAUCCGAACAGGUGGUAAAUCCGUGGGUAGUUAGCGCCAAGGAGGGGGGGAAGAUUGACUACGACAAACUUAUCAUCAAGUUUGGGUGCCAGAAGCUCGACGAAUCCCUUGUCCAGAGAAUCGAACGUCUGACUAACCGUCCCUCUCACGUCUUCCUCCGUCGCGGCGUCUUCUUCGCUCAUCGGGACUUGAAUGAGAUUCUCAAUGCUUAUGAGAGAGGGGAGAAAUUUUACCUGUACACAGGAAGAGGCCCAUCAUCAGAAGCUUUGCACUUGGGCCAUCUUAUUCCCUUUAUGUUUACAAAGUAUUUACAGGAUGUGUUCAGGGUUCCUUUAGUAAUACAACUUACAGAUGAUGAGAAGUGCAUGUGGAAGAAUUUAUCAGUGGAAGAAAGUAGAAGACUCGCUCGUGAAAAUGCUAAAGAUAUUAUUGCUUGUGGUUUUGACAUAACCCGCACAUUCAUCUUUGCUGAUUUUGAUUAUGUUGGUGGUGAAUUUUACAGAAACAUGGUUCGAGUUGGAAAACAUGUCACUCUAAACAAGGUAGCUGCAAUUUUUGGCUUCACUGGUGAAGACCAUAUUGGGAAGAUUAACUUUCCAACUGUUCAGGCUGUUCCGUCGUUCCCCACUUCAUUUCCUCACCUGUUCCAUGGCAGGGAUCACCUCCGUUGCUUGAUUCCAUGUGCAAUUGACCAGGAUCCUUAUUUCAGGAUGACGAGGGAUGUUGCUCCAAAGAUUGGAUAUCAAAAGCCCGCACUCAUUGAAUCAUUAUUUUUCCCUUCUCUACAGGGACAAGCUGGGAAAAUGUCUGCCAGUGAUCCAAAUUCUGCUAUAUAUGUCACUGAUUCUUCAAAAAUUAUAAAAAACAAGGUAAACAGGUAUGCCUUCUCAGGUGGACAAGAUUCCAUAGAGAACCAUAGGAAACAUGGAGCAAACCUUGAGGUGGAUAUACCAAUCAAGUACCUGGGAUUUUUUCUUGAUGAUGAUGCUGAGUUGGAAAGCAUAAGGAGGGAAUAUGAAGCUGGCAGGAUGCUAACUGGUGAGGUCAAGAAACGUCUCAUUGAGGUUUUGUCUGAGCUGGUUGAAAGACACCAAAGAGCACGUUCUGCUGUUUCAGAAGAGAUGGUUGAUGCAUUCAUGGCAGUGAGGCCCCUACCUAACAUGUUUGCAUAACUGGAGGGUUUAGAAAAGAUAUUUUAUUGCCACGAGCAUGGUUCAAAUUGAAUUCUGGUGCUCGUACGAACGAAAACACAAUGUUGAAGCCAGCCAUGCUUAGCGUAGAUAGAGAUAAGCAUAUUUGUGGGGCGCUUAACAGAUCAAAAAUUUUAGCAACCAUUAAUCAAACCCCAUGGUAGAAUAAGCGCUUUUAGCCUUUUACCCGAAAAAGCUUUUUGUACAUCACAAAACGGAACUAGUCAUCCAUUAACUGCAUAUACAAAGACCAAGUUUGGAAGUUGCUAGAAUCUGAAAGGAAUAUUUAAGUUUCAUUCUGUUUUUAUGUCA